AUACUUACCUGCCUUCGGGCGUCCUCUGAUCAAGCAGAGAGGUGCCCCAGGGCGAGGCCUCUGCAUUGCACUGCGCUGAGGUUGACCCCUGCGAUUUCUUCAAAGUGAGAAACUCGGGAGGACAAUUUAUUAGUGUGGGGACUGCGUUCGCGCUAUCCCUAA